rnacentral:lncRNA from 12 species
AUGACAAGGAAACAGGGACUCCAACAGAAGAGAGCAGUCAAGGGAAUUCCUAAGAUGAAGAAGGGCAGUCACAGAGGACAGCUGGCAGCCGAGCCUGAAAGCAAGUCCAGAUGGAGGAAUCUAAGGAAGAAUUUCCUGGGAAAAAAAUGGAGCAGAAAUCAUAUAACAGAUUCUCUGGAUAUUACUUUUUUCCGUGUUUACCCUAAGAAGUCCAGAUGCUAGAAACAAGGCCAGGAUGACCCGAUCGAUGACCUCGCACGCACGUGUUCUCUGAGUGCACCUGGCCGUGGGGAGGUCAGCACCAGGACGACGGGGACGAGAUGCCACACGAGUACUUUGAAGUAGUGAAGCCUUUCAAUGGUGUCCUAUCACCAGGGAUACUGAUGGAAAACAUUUGUAUUUCGAGCUUUUAAAAUAUUGAUCAUCAAUUUGAGUUCUAAUCCGAGAGAUCCUGUGGGUGCCGUGUCUCUCUUCCGGGAGGUGGGGAGGUACCACCGGGAGACUACUUGGCACUCACACGAUUAAAGGGCGCCACGUACUUUUUCUUUGCGGAGAAGAAAGAACCGAGAAGGCAAAGGUUUGAGAUGGUGAAGGUGAGGGAUGGCGGGGCGGGGGGGGGGCUGAGUCAGGAACACGACUGGGGCAGCUGAGCUAUUUCCCACCUGAAGCCCAGUGUGCAGACUGACUUCAAUCUGACACGUGUGAGACCUGCUGCCCAUGGGGCCCCCAACACUGUCAAGUGGGGGACGAGUUUAGGGGACUCCGAUGCCGUCAGAAGAGGACGCAGCCUUUGGUAUUGUCGAUCUAGAGCUGGUUUGAAACGAAGCCGCUUCAUUUCCGCUGGGGGCCCAUGACUUACGGCUACUGUCCUCUCGACUAUGUACAAAGGCUCUGAAAGUUCUCUGAAGGUGAAUCGAACGGGAUUUUGUCCUCAAAGAGCUAAUGAUUUGAAUGGGAUACAAGCGAUGUACUUCUACCCAAGAUAGGAAGUGGAAAAUGGGGGGUGCCUGGCUGGCUUAGUGCAAAGAGCAUGCGACUCUGAUCACAGGGUCAUGCGUUCGAGUCUCACAUGGGGUGUGGCAAUCACUUAAAUGAAUAGAACUUAAAGAAAAAAAAAGUAGAAAAUGAAUAAGGAUCAUGAGAGUGUUAUGGAGUGCUAUUUAACCCUAUACUUUCAGUUUACAAUUUCAUUUGUUUGAAAUAAUGACGGCUCCUCAUGAGCAUCUGAAGACCAUAGUGCAGCGAAUCUAAUUUCUUAAGAAAAACUAUUUUAUUGCCAAACACAUCAAAGGUAUAUACAUCUCCACUCUGGAUGUAUUUCUAGCAAGUUUUACAUUUAUUUGUUAAAAUUAGGCAUUAAACAGUUAAUGCUAUUUCUACUGAUAACAACUUGAAUAAUUUGUAUAGCACUUUUUAACUUUCAAUCUGAUUUUACACCGAUUUUCUCAUUUGUUUCUUGUAACAAUUAGAUGUGGCAAGAUAGGCAAUAGCAUUUCUAUUUGGCAUUUCUAUUUGAGAAAACUAAGGCUCAAGGUCAUUGGGUGAUUUACCCAAGUUCAGCCAAUGAGGUGGAUUUGAAAAUAAAGUCACAGUUUAUUGGUUCCU